CCUACGGGAGGCAGCAGUAGGGAAUUUUUCACAAUGGGCGAAAGCCUGAUGGAGCAAUGCCGCGUGAAUGAUGAAGGUCUUAUAGAUUGUAAAAUUCUUUUAUUUGGGAAGAAAAACUAAAGUAGGAAAUGACUUUAGUCUGACUGUACCAUUUGAAUAAGUAUCGGCUAACUAUGUGCCAGCAGCCGCGGGAAUACAUAGGAUGCAAGCGUUAUCCGGAUUUACGGGGCGAAACACGAGCGCAGGCGGGUUACCCAGUAUGGUAGGAAAGGCUUUUGCUUAACGAAAGUUUGUAUCAAAAACUGUUAAUCUAGAGUGUAGUAGAGAGUUCUGGAAUUCCAUGUGGAGCGGUGGAAUGCGUAGAUAUAUGGAAGAACACCAGUGGCGAAGGCGAGAACUUAGGCUAUCACUGACGCUUAGGCUCGAAAGUGUGGGGAGCAAAUAGGAUUAGAUACCCUGGUAGUC
rnacentral:rRNA from 1 species